GGGAGCUUUCCCUGACAUUCUUUCCAAAGACUGAAAGUAAGAAAUGUUAUGGUGGUGCUAUGUCUAUUUUUGAAAAUGUAGAAGACAGAAGUAGCUCAGGGUCCUGGGGGAAUGGAGGACAUCCAAGCCCGUCCAGGAACUAUGGAGAUGGGACUUCCUAUGACCACAUGACCAGCAGGGACCUUGGGUCACAUGACAAUCUCUCUCCACCUUUUGUCAAUUCCAGAAUACAAAGUAAAACAGAAAGGGGCUCAUACUCAUCUUAUGGGAGAGAAUCAAACUUACAGGGUUGCCACCAGCAGAGUCUCCUUGGAGGUGACAUGGAUAUGGGCAACCCAGGAACCCUUUCGCCCACCAAA
rnacentral:sRNA from 1 species